UGGGGAAUAUUGGACAAUGGGCGCAAGCCUGAUCCAGCCAUACCGCGUGGGUGAAGAAGGCCUUAGGGUUGUAAAGCCCUUUCAGUCGUGACGAUGAUGACGGUAGCGACAGAAGAAGCCCCGGCUAACUCCGUGCCAGCAGCCGCGGUAAUACGGAGGGGGCAAGCGUUGUUCGGAUUUACUGGGCGUAAAGGGCGUGUAGGCGGGUAACCAAGUCAGAGGUGAAAGGCCCGGGCUCAACCUGGGACGUGCCUUUGAAACUGGUUGCCUUGAGUGCGGGAGAGGGCGAAGGAAUUCCCAGUGUAGAGGUGAAAUUCGUAGAUAUUGGGAAGAACACCGGUGGCGAAGGCGUUCGCCUGGCCCGCAACUGACGCUGAGGCGCGAAAGCGUGGGGAGCAAACAGGAUUAGAUACCCCCGUAGUCC
rnacentral:rRNA from 1 species